AGAAAUUAGAAUGAUAAACAGUCGAAAUCGGUGACAGCGUGCGAUGGCAAUUUCAUAGCGCUUUUCGUUUAAAACAGUCAAUUGGAAGUGAAUCAAUUGAAGUUUUCAAACUACCGAGAGAUGCCAUUGGUGUCCGAAUUCAAUGUGUCCUGAAUCAUCCAGAAUUAAUACGUAAUUCCAUCGACAA